UGGGGAAUAUUGCACAAUGGGCGCAAGCCUGAUGCAGCCAUGCCGCGUGUGUGAAGAAGGCCUUCGGGUUGUAAAGCACUUUCAGCGAGGAGGAAGGUGGUGAACUUAAUACGUUCAUCAAUUGACGUUACUCGCAGAAGAAGCACCGGCUAACUCCGUGCCAGCAGCCGCGGUAAUACGGAGGGUGCAAGCGUUAAUCGGAAUUACUGGGCGUAAAGCGCACGCAGGCGGUUUGUUAAGUCAGAUGUGAAAUCCCCGGGCUCAACCUGGGAACUGCAUUUGAAACUGGCAAGCUAGAGUCUCGUAGAGGGGGGUAGAAUUCCAGGUGUAGCGGUGAAAUGCGUAGAGAUCUGGAGGAAUACCGGUGGCGAAGGCGGCCCCCCUGGACGAAGACUGACGCUCAGGUGCGAAAGCGUGGGGCAGCAAACAGGAUUAGAUACCCUGGUAGGUCCACGCUGUAAACGAUGUCGAUUUGGAGGUUGUG
rnacentral:rRNA from 1 species